GCUGAUGUCUGCUGCCUCAUGCUCACUCGACGCACCAGACUACGAAUCUGGGGGUCAGGAGUUCGAAUCUCUUCGACCGCGCCA
rnacentral:tRNA from 1 species